CUGACCAUUGAAUUCUUUCAUUUUGAAAAAUUGGACCACCGGAGAGCAACCGGUUGACCAUCUCUCUUCUUCUUUCACAGGGUAUUCUCUCUCUCUACUUUCACUCUUUCGUUUCUCUCCCUCCCUCUCCCUCUGCUACUCCCUCCUUCGAGUGAUCUCUUCCCCUGCUCCUCUCUCUCUUCUCUGUCUAUUGCGCUCAUUCGUCUGUCUUCCUCUAGUUCGACUGACUGCAGAUUCUAAGUGGCUGUUCGGUUUAAAACUCUAAUCUAACCCAGUGAGCCUUUGUUUGGUUUGUCAGAAAACGAAGGAGUUUUUUUUUGAAGAGCAAUCAACAAGUGCUAUCUGAAUUUCUAUUCCAGUCUCUCUUGGCUCACACUGAUUCAAAAUUUGUAGUGAAGCAAAGCUUGGUAGUGGCUGAUUGAGUGUGUCUUAGUCUCUUGCCUACUAGUGAGGGUAGUUGGGUUAUUGCUGCAAGGGCAUUGAGUGUAUGGUCUGCUGCAAUUGAAAAGGAACGUCAAUUUGGAAAUGAUAGCAGCAUUUGAGAAGGCAUAUGGAAAGAGACUUUCCAAGAAUUUUGAUUGUAGUGGAGCUAGAGAUUGAUCCUUUCAGACCUGAUCGGUUCUUCCAGAAAGAGUGCAAAAUCCAUUCAAGACUUGGACCUUUGCCUUGAUCCCAACGUCCCAAGAACUAGAGUAUCAAGCAAGAAGUCGGCUACGCCGAGAUGUGUGUUUUGUAUGCAUGUUACGUCGGCUUUGAGGAUGUCGGCAAACUGUAGAUUAUGUAUUCUUGAUUUGUAUUUCAUGUGUUAUAUUUAUGACGACUUGAGAAGCCUUUUGCCAAGAUGUAAUAUGUACUUUUGUAUUCAAGUUUUAAAGCUAUGUAAAGAUGCAUGCCAUUCCAUUUGACUUAUGCAUUGCUUUUAUGGACCACUUGUGUUUUGAAUUAUUGCUUCCGCACUUGUAAGCCCCGUAUAUUAUACUCUGAUUGUCUGUGAAUUUUGGAAGUUGGCCUUCGGUAAUUACGGAUUACUGGCCAUCACGGCACCAAACUACUAGGGGCGGUUUGGGGUCGUGACAG